rnacentral:rRNA from 1 species
GCUUAACACAUGCAAGUCGAGCGAGAAUCGUUUAUUGAAGGCUUCGGCUGGAAAUAGAUGAGGAAAGCGGCGAACGGGUGAGUAACGCGUGGGCAACCUGGCCUUAAGAAAAGGAUAGCCCCCGGAAACGGGGAGUAAUACUUUAUGAGAAUGAGAGAGGGCAUCCUACUUUCAUUCAAAGCGCAAGCGCGUUAAGGAUGGGCCCGCGUAUCAUUAGCUAGUUGGUGAGAUAACAGCCCACCAAGGCAACGAUGAUUAGCCGGUCUGAGAGGGCGAACGGCCACAUUGGAACUGAGAGACGGUCCAAACUCCUACGGGAGGCAGCAGUGGGGAAUAUUGCGCAAUGGAGAAGAACUCUGACGCAGCAAUACCGCGUGAGCGAAGAAGGUCUUCGGAUCGUAAAGCUCUGUUAUCAGGGAAGAAGAAAAUGACGGUACCUGAUGAGCAAGUCCCGGCUAACUACGUGCCAGCCGCCGCUGUAA